UGUGGGUAUGCUCCAAUAGGUUCUCUGUUGCUGGAGUCAGACCCCAUGAGGGCAAGCAGGCAGGACGGCUGCUUUGCAGAAGGCCAUGUGCCCUGUGCGAGUUGAGAGAAGCUGAGCCCAGGAACAGAAACCAGGCUGUUAUCCCUAACUCUGAAGCAUUUUGCAGCAGCUACCUUCUCAAGGUGAUUAUGGAAGGUGAGGGUCCAGUCAAGUUUCACACCGAGGCCACCUGGUGAAUUUCCUCGUGGGAUGUGAAGAUGACUGAGACAAUGGGAGGGAAGAUGGAGGAAUGGGUCUAAG